UGCAGUCGAGCGGUAACAGGGGGUGCUUGCACCCCGCUGACGAGCGGCGGACGGGUGAGUAAUGCUUAGGAAUCUGCCCAGUAGUGGGGGAUAGCCCGGGGAAACCCGGAUUAAUACCGCAUACGUCCUACGGGAGAAAGCAGGGGAUCUUCGGACCUUGCGCUAUUGGAUGAGCCUAAGUCGGAUUAGCUAGUUGGUGGGGUAAAGGCCUACCAAGGCGACGAUCCGUAGCUGGUCUGAGAGGAUGAUCAGCCACAUCGGGACUGAGACACGGCCCGAACUCCUACGGGAGGCAGCAGUGGGGAAUAUUGGACAAUGGGGGCAACCCUGAUCCAGCCAUGCCGCGUGUGUGAAGAAGGCUUUCGGGUUGUAAAGCACUUUCAGCGAGGAGGAAGGCCUUAAAGUUAAUACCUUUGAGGAUUGACGUUACUCGCAGAAGAAGCACCGGCUAACUCCGUGCCAGCAGCCGCGGUAAUACGGAGGGUGCAAGCGUUAAUCGGAAUUACUGGGCGUAAAGCGCGCGUAGGUGGUUAGGUAAGCGAGAUGUGAAAGCCCCGGGCUUAACCUGGGAACGGCAUUUCGAACUGUCUGACUAGAGUGUGGUAGAGGGUAGUGGAAUUUCCUGUGUAGCGGUGAAAUGCGUAGAUAUAGGAAGGAACACCAGUGGCGAAGGCGGCUACCUGGACCAACACUGACACUGAGGUGCGAAAGCGUGGGGAGCAGACAGGAUUAGAUACCCUGGUAGUCCACGCC
rnacentral:rRNA from 1 species